UAAGAUGUAAUUAUAAAUUCAAAAUUAGUAUUAGUUAAGUUCUUGAAAAUUAAAGAUUUUGGCGGUAUUUUAGUCUUUUCAGAGGAACCUGUCCUAUAAAUGAUAAUCCACGAUUAGUUUUACUUUAUUUUUUAAUUUGUAUAUCAUCGUAGAAAAAUAUUUUAAAAGAAUAAAUAUUUAUUUUUUAUAAAAAUUGAAAUCAGAUCAAGGUGCAGUUUAUAAUAAAGAAGAGAUGGGUUACAAUAUAAUUUAUAUGUGGAUAAAUUAUUUAAAAUAAUUUUUAAAUUGGAUUUGAAAGUAAUUAAUUAUAUAUUUUUUUAAUGAUUUAAGCUCUAAAAUAUGC
rnacentral:rRNA from 1 species